GUGGGGGAUAGCUCGCCGAAAGGCGAAUUAAUACCGCAUGUGAUCAGGAAGGACAUCUUUCCGACAUUAAAGGUGGCGCAAGCUACCGCUUUUUGAGGAGCCCGCGGCCUAUCAGCUUGUUGGUGAGGUAACGGCUCACCAAGGCUAUGACGGGUAGCUGGUCUGAGAGGACGACCAGUCACACUGGAACUGAGACACGGUCCAGACACCUACGGGUGGCAGCAGUCGAGAAUUUUUCUCAAUGGGGGAAACCCUGAAGGAGCGACGCCGCGUGGAGGAUGAAGGCUUGUCGGGUUGUAAACUCCUGUCAUUUGAGAACAAUGGCUACGCGUUAACUGCGCGGAGCUUGAUAGUAUCAGAAGAGGAAGAGACGGCUAACUCUGUGCCAGCAGCCGCGGUAAUACAGAGGUCUCAAGCGUUGUUCGGAUUCAUUGGGGCG
rnacentral:rRNA from 1 species